rnacentral:rRNA from 1 species
GACGAACGCUGGCGGCGUGCUUAACACAUGCAAGUCGAACGGACAGGCCCUGCUUUUGUUGGUUUCUCGUUUGGCGAACGGGUGAGUAAAACGUGAGGAACCUGCCCUUUUCUUUCGGAUAAAUUCACGGAACUGGGGCUAAUACCCGAUAUGAUCUCUUGCUCCAUAUUGGUCGUUAGAAAGUUUCGGCUGUUGGGGAUGGACUCGCUGCUUAUCAGCUUGUUGGUGUGGUAGUGGCUGACCAAGGCUUUGACGGGUAGCCGGCCUGAGAGGGUGACCGGCCACAUUGGGACUGAGAGACGGCCCAGAAGCCUACGGGAGGCAGCAGGGGGGAAUAUUGCACAAUGGGCGGAAGCCUGAUGCAGCAACGCCGCGUGCGGGAUGACGGCCUUCGGGGUGUAAACAGAUUUCGAAUGUGACGAAGCGUGAGUGACGGUAAUGGGUAAAGAAGCAACGGCUAACUACGUG